CAAGCAAGGCCUACCUUUGAGUUAAGAGUUUGGGAUUUUGAAACUGAAAGCUUUUCCACCCCUUACAAAUAGUAUUUUUUGUUUUUGAAAGGUGAGCAAACAAUUAAAUGUUGUUCAUAGGCAUUUAGAAAUUAAUUUUUAGAAAAAACAAAGGCCUUAAAGAUAAACUCCAGGUCUUUAUCUCCAAGUGUGAUGUUUUGUCUCAGAACCUCACAUUUAUGAAUUUUCCUUUGGGGACUAUCUGGGUGUUCCCUGCCCCUCGGUCUCCUAAUGCUGGACAGGGCUCUCACUAUUACAGCCCAUUCAUGAGGAAACUAGUCUUUAAAGGAGCUCAGUUUUGCUGCAAAACUGAGGUUUUUUUAUGAUUUACUUGGUUUAAAGAGUCGAUUCUGGGCUCUGGGUAAUUGACAUGCCGUAGGGGACCUGCUACCUUCUUAGUGUGUGCGACCAGUGGGCCCUCCAAUCAGAUCGCCUGGGGUUUCGAUCACAUGGCUUGCAGGGUCCCAUCGAUCAUCUGCUUCGUUUUAUCAGAGGGCUCUUUCAGGGCACGGCAUGUUCUUCCAGCUUACAGAUGAUUUUCUGCUGGUUGCGCAUUAGAGUGGCUGCUUCUCUGGGUGUGCAAUUCACCACUUACAUCUGAAAUUCUGGGGCCAAGACAUGAAAAUCCAAGUUUUCACAAGACUUACAUUUUCACCAAAAAAAAAAAAUCACUAAAAUGAUUCUGAUGUAUGCCAAGAUCUGAUGUGUUUCAGAACCUACUAAAUUCACUUUGUCAGAUUUCGUUUACCCCAUGCCACCUCUCUAGGACGGGACUCCAGAGACAGAUUUCAAGGACAUAGCAGACUCAGGCAAGGUACCCAUCCACUGGGCAGUGGCUGCACCAACCUCUUGGCCUAAAGGAAGAUGCUGAGUGGUUUGCACAUUUCUGCAUUCUGCCUCCUGUGCCACUUCUCCGGAGCUCCCCAACUAAAGGGAUCUGAAGAUGCUGAAUCUGACCUGUUGGCAGCACGUGCACCUUGCUGAGAAGGGGAUGAAAGGAGCGUUUGGCUUCCUGGUGCUGGCAUACACACGUUAAUUGUAGGGUCUUCACCUGCUUUGGUAGAUAAAUCGCAAACAUUUCCAUGGAUAACUGAGUCUAUCAUGCAAAUUGGUUUCCAUCUGCUGGUCUGUUGAGAGUCAUGUUCCAGAAUUACAACAGUUAUUUACUUAUGGGCACAUCAGCUUUCUUACCACCUUCUCUGUUUGAGUGAGGCCUCCAGUUGCUGCAGGAGCCCAUGUGUCUGGAAGGGCUGGAGGGCUCUGCCUUUGUGGGCCUGUGGUCUGACUUUGUAGGUCCAGGAGCAGAGAAGAAUCCAAAUACCAUCGGCCAAUGAGAGGAGGACAAGGCCACGUCUUGGCUUUUUUGCACCACUAAGUCUAGGACACAGC
rnacentral:lncRNA from 1 species